GUGUCAGCAGCCGCGGUAAUACGUAGGUGGCAAGCGUUGUCCGGAUUUAUUGGGUUUAAAGGGUGCGUAGGCGGUCCUUUAAGUCAGUGCUGAAAUACUCUAGCUUAACUAGAGGGGUGGCAUUGAUACUGGAGGACUUGAAUGAAGUCGAGGUAGGCGGAAUUGACGGUGUAGCGGUGAAAUGCUUAGAUAUCGUCAAGAACACCGAUAGUGAAGACAGCUUACUAGGCUUAGAUUGACGCUGAGGCACGAAAGUGUGGGGAUCAAACAGGAUUAGAUACCCUGGUAGUCCACACUGUAAACGUUGAUUACUCGCUGUGUGCGAUAUACAGUACGCGGCCAAGCGAAAGCGCUAAGUAAUCCACCCGGGGAGUACGCCGGCAACGGUGAA
rnacentral:rRNA from 1 species